ACCUAAACGGCGAAACUGCGAAUGGCUCAUUAAAUCAGUUAUCGUUUAUUUGAUAGUACCUACUACAUGGAUAACCGUGGUAAUUCUAGAGCUAAUACAUGCUAAAAAUCCCGACUUCGGAAGGGAUGUAUUUAUUAGAUUAAAAACCAAUGCCCUUCGGGGCUCACUGGUGAUUCAUAAUAACUUCUCGAAUCGCAUGGCCUUGCGCUGGCGAUGGUUCAUUCAAAUUUCUGCCCUAUCAACUUUCGACGGCUGGGUCUUGGCCAGCCAUGGUGACAACGGGUAACGGAGGGUUAGGGCUCGACCCCGGAGAAGGAGCCUGAGAAACGGCUACUACAUCCAAGGAAGGCAGCAGGCGCGCAAAUUACCCAAUCCCGACACGGGGAGGUAGUGACAAUAAAUACUGAUACAGGGCUCUUUUGGGUCUUGUAAUUGGAAUGAGUACAAUUUAAAUCCCUUAACGAGGAACAAUUGGAGGGCAAGUCUGGUGCCAGCAGCCGCGGUAAUUCCAGCUCCAAUAGCGUAUAUUAAAGUUGUUGCAGUUAAAAGCUCGUAGUUGAACCUUGGGCCUGGCUGGCCGGUCCGCCUCACCGCGUGCACUGGUCCGGCCGGGCCUUUCCCUCUGGGGAGCCGCAUGCCCUUCACUGGGUGUGUCGGGGAACCAGGACUUUUACUGUGAAAAAAUUAGAGUGUUCAAAGCAGGCCUAUGCUCGAAUACAUUAGCAUGGAAUAAUAGAAUAGGACGUGCGGUUCUAUUUUGUUGGUUUCUAGGACCGCCGUAAUGAUUAAUAGGGACAGUCGGGGGCAUCAGUAUUCAAUUGUCAGAGGUGAAAUUCUUGGAUUUAUUGAAGACUAACUACUGCGAAAGCAUUUGCCAAGGAUGUUUUCAUUAAUCAGGAACGAAAGUUAGGGGAUCGAAGACGAUCAGAUACCGUCGUAGUCUUAACCAUAAACUAUGCCGACUAGGGAUCGGGCGGUGUUAUUUUUUGACCCGCUCGGCACCUUACACGAAAGUAAAGUUUUUGGGUUCUGGGGGGAGU
rnacentral:rRNA from 1 species